AAGUCGUAACAAGGUUUCCGUAGGUGAACCUGCGGAAGGAUCAUUAUCAAAUAAUCCGAAACUUUUUUUUAAAGUAUUCUUCAUUGAAUAUUUUAAAAAAAUAUCAACCAACCGUGAACUGUUUUGCCUCCAACGAGGAAGGGUUUGAACGUGUGGGGUGAAUGCCCUACAUUAGUACUUUCUUUGUUGGUUGUAUUUUUAAUAUAUUUUAUUAACCCUUCUAACAAAAACCUUUUAAACUUAAAAUUCUGAACUGAAUUAAUUUUCUUUUUCCUAUUCAUUUUAGGAAAAUUAAAAUAAAAAUACGAAAAAUUUUAUCAGAACAACUCUUAGCAACGGAUAUCUUGGUUCUC
rnacentral:misc_RNA from 1 species